AACGAACGCUGGCGGCAUGCCUAACACAUGCAAGUCGAACGAGACCUUCGGGCCUAGUGGCGCAGGGGUGCGUAACGCGUGGGAACCAGCCCUUAGGUUAGGAAUAACUCACCGAAGGGGGAGCUAAUACCGGAGAAGGUCUUCGGACCUAAGAUUUAUCGCGUUUGGAUGGGGGCGCGUUGGAUUAGCUGGUUGGUAGGGGAAAAGCCGGCCAAGGAGACGUUGCAUAGCUGGUCUGAGAGGAUGCUCAGCCAGACUGGGAAUGAGACCCGGACCCGACUGCUACGGGAAGGAGGAGUAGGGUAUAUUGGGCGAGGAGGGCAAGUCUGGCAAAGCCAUGUGGGGGAAGAGAUGAAGGCGGUAGGGUUGUAAAGCUCUUUGACCCGAGAUGAUAAUGACAGUACCGGGUGAAUAAGCACCGGCUAACUACGUG
rnacentral:rRNA from 1 species